rnacentral:lncRNA from 1 species
UUAGACUCCAGAACAGACGGACGAAAUGGCUGCGUUGUAUUUAAUAAUUAUUUUAGUUAUGAGGUGCGUACUUUGAUGUUUUCGCGAGGUCCAUCGCUAGGAGAUUAAUAUUAAGCAGAACUUACUGCUGAUGAAAGGCCUUCUUUGGAAUGUCAAAGUGUUUUUUAUUUUAUUUAGAUCUCUUGUUUGUAUAACUAACAAUCUUUUUUUCCAGGUAUUUUGGACAGAGUGAUUUAGCAGAAACAUUAUGACAUUUCAUCACUUGAAGACAAAGCUCGCUUAAACAUCCAUGUGAAAAUAUAUUCAGUCACUUACCUCUGACACUUGAGCUUUGACAAGUUCUAAAGCAGAAAAAACUAACCUUCUUGUACAAAAAUGAAAUAUUAUCGCCAUUAAUAAUAAAACUUUGUUACUUUUAAAAAAGACGGCAAUUUGCUGUAUCUAUAUAUAAUUCAAAAUAUUGUUAAAUAAAACUAUAUUUUGAAGGCAUUUUGUAGUAUAUAUAUGUAUUUUAUACACAUUGUAAUUUACAAAAAAAUCUUAAGACUGGUUGACACUAUCAAAGUUUCUGUGAUCACAGUAGGAAUUUUGCAUGGGUAAAUGCUAAGUUUUGAAGGAUUUGUAAGAAAUGUUUGAGGAAACUUACUGAGUGUUAUAAAGGAUGGUUUACACUAUCAAAGUUUCUGUGAUCACAGUAGGAAUUUUGCAUUGGUAAAUUCUANNNNNNNNNNNNNNNNNNNNUUGUAAGAAAUGUUUGAGGAAACUUACUGAGUGUUAUAAAGGAUGGUUUACACUAUCAAAGUUUCUGUGAUCACAGUAGGAAUUUUGCAUUGGUAAAUUCUAAGUUUUGAAGGAUUUGUAAGAAAUGUUUGAGGGAACCUCGGUAUUUAACAUUUAGAAUUUACCGAAUGCAAAAUUCCUAGUGUGAUCACAGAAACUUUGAUAGUGUAACCAGCCAGUCAUUAUGGUGAGAACACACACAUCACGUGAAUACAUUUACAAACUUUACACGGCUGGAAGAUGUCAAAUUUUUAUGAUGUCAGCAAGAUUUUCUUUUGGUUGAGUCAUAUUGUCCGGGAAGUAUGUCACAAGUUGAUCAAAUAACU